rnacentral:rRNA from 1 species
AACGUAGGGGACGAGCGUUAUCCGGAUUUACUGGGCGUAAAGCGCAUGUAGGUGGCUUGAAAAGUUGGACGUGAAAGCUCCUGGCUUAACUGGGAGAGGUCGUACAAAACUAGCAGCUUGAGGUUGGAGGAGGAGAGCAGAAUUCCCGGUGUAGUGGUGGAAUGCGUAGAUAUCGGGAGGAAUACCAGUGGCGAAAGCGGCUCUCUGGUUCACACCUGACGCUGAGGGGCGAAAGCGUGGGGAGCGAACGGG